UACAGAGGUCCCAAGCGUUGUUCGGAUUCACUGGGCGUAAAGGGUGCGUAGGUGGGUUGGCAAGUUCGAUGUGAAAGCCCCGGGCUUAACCCGGGAAUGGCAUUGGAUACUGCUGAUCUGGAGGAUCGGAGGGGGGACUGGAAUUCUUGGUGUAGCAGUGAAAUGCGUAGAUAUCAAGAGGAACACCAGUGGCGAAGGCGAGUCCCUGGACGAUACCUGACACUGAGGCACGAAAGCCAAGGGAGCAAACAGG
rnacentral:rRNA from 1 species